CCCCUAGAUGUUCUGGGCCGCACGCGCGCUACACUGAACAGUUCAACAAGUCUUAACCUUGGCCGAUAGGUCUGGGUAAUCUUUGAACGCUGUUCGUGAUUGGGAUAGACCUUUGCAAUUAUGGGUCUUCAACGAGGAAUUCCUAGUAAACACAAGUCAUCAGCUUGCAUUGAUUACGUCCCUGCCCUUUGUACACACCGCCCGUCGCACCUACCGAUUGAAUGGUCCGGUGAAAUCUCGGGACGGCGGCUUGGUCGCUUGCGUCCGACUGCUGAAACUUGAUUAAACCAUAUCAUUUAGAGGAAGGUGAAGUCGUANCA
rnacentral:rRNA from 1 species